rnacentral:lncRNA from 1 species
GAUAGUGGUGAAAGGAUCGAAUCCACAGAGAAUUGAUUACUUAUUUAUUUUUCUCAACAAGACCAAUAAAAUUAACUGAAACAAUGAGAUAAACAAAAAAUGAGAUAAAAACUGAAAAUGAGAUAAACUGAAAGCUGAAUAAAAUUAAAUUGCAGUAAAAGUAAAAUGGGGGGUUUUAAGAUUGAUUGUAGUAACUAAUAAUGAGAAUAAUAAUAGAAAGCAAAUAAUUAAGUAAAAAGUAAUUAAUAAUGAGAAAGCUCUAGUUGAAAUAUUGGAUCCACUUUAGUUGUUGGGAUUGAUCACAGACACUUUGCUCUUUUGGGUUGACCCAAUAGAUUAGUUAUGGAGAUGGAAGACGCUUCUCACCACCAUUAUCUCUCCUUAGGAAUAAAUUAAUUAGGGAACGUCCUCUAAUUAAUUACUAAUUAACAAAUUGCCAAGGAACGUCCUUGGGCCUUAGGCAUCAAAACAAUUGUCAAUUGCAUUAAGAAAGAGAGAGACCCAAUCCUAACUACCCAAACGUAUGGAGAUAACGCUAGAUCAUGCAAUUUUCUUGGGUCUUAUCCCAAGUGUCCUCAUGUAAGAAUAACCCAAGUAAUUACGGACUUAAAUUAUUCAAACUAACAAAUAAUUAUUUUGCAAUAAAAAAAUUAACGUAGAUUUCAAUUGUACAAAAUAAUAUGAAGAUUAAAUAUGAAAUUGUAUAAAUAUUGAAUUCCCAAAAAUUAAAUAAUAUUUGAUCAAGUCUCACAACCUAUUAACCAACUAAAGUUUCAAUCAAUAUUCAACUAGAUGAAGAAAUUAGUCGCUCAUUGGCUAAAUUAAAAACAGAAAAUAAAUAAAGGGGAAAAGAAAAUAAAAACCGAAAAUCUGGAAUUCUUCUGCCCAGCUGCGGAACUUGCCAAAUUGCCGAAAAUUCUCUUUUGAAUUGUUCACUGGAAGUUCUAUUUAUAAGUGCAGAGGAGCGCACUAUUUAGGAAAAUUG